UCAAUACUCCCUCCGUCCGGAAAUACUUGUCCUAGAAAUGUACAAAAUAGAUGUAUCUAUAAAAUAAGUCUAGAUACAUCAAUAAGUCUAGAUACAUCUAUAAGUCUAGAUACAUCUAUUUUUCUAGAUACAUCUAUUUUUAUAGAUACAUCUAUUUUUAGGAAUCUAUUUUUAGGACAAGUAUUUCCGGACGGAGGGAGUAUAUA
rfam:Hordeum vulgare subsp. vulgare, WGS project CAJW01000000 data, contig: morex_contig_136252